CCCACAAGUUUACUGAGGAUCGACUCCAACUGGGCCCCAACGUUGCUUUUGUCUUGUGAGGGAUGUGGUACAGCUCGGUCCAAGCUCCAUCACCGACAAAGUCACGAAUAAAAUUCGCUACCUGCAGCAUACUGUUUUGAAGAGCCAUCGGGACACGAGGUAAACUCGUGAAGUUAUGGCAAGGAAAACGGACAAGCAUCGACAAACUAAAAACAAAAUGUUUAGAAACCUUAAAUGUUAGUUUCGUAAGCCAUAAUCAUGCGUUAUAUUCAAAAACUGUAAACCAUAUUCAUACAUUGUAAUCUUGCUCUUCGUUUUCUCCACAUUCUUAAUCUUUUUAUUUUUAGAGAAAAGAAGCUCGAAUGUUCGUCAGUAAAAGGCUGCUUUUAACAUUUGAAGGAAACGUGAAUUAUUUUGGUUGUUAACAUAAACGUAAGUUUUGAUUUCCGAUA